UCCUUGGUGGCUCAGAGGGUAAAGCGUCUGCCUACAAUGCAGGAGACCCAGGUUCGAUCCCUGGGUUGGGAA
rnacentral:tRNA from 1 species